rnacentral:misc_RNA from 1 species
UUUUUUAAGUUGCGCUGUGGCGUAAGUUAGUAGGACUCCGCCGUUUGCGAGAAAUCCUUGGGUUGUUUCCGAAAACUUACGUCCGCUAGGCCACCGGGCCGUUGGCUGCUCUGGUGGUCUCUACGGCUGUCUCCGUGGGCGGCCGGCAGACGGCGCGGGUGGGUCAGCUCACCUUCCCGCGCACCGGCCCAGUGGGUUGCCGCAAGGCCCACGUCUCGAGGCCGAGACCAAGGCGCUUUCCCCGGCGCUUGGGAAAUGACGGGUCGGGCAGCGCUGCUCGCUGCGACACUUGGGACGACGGUGCUCGGACCCCCGGCGGUCGAAAGUGAUGACGGUGCGUGAGGUGCCACUGGCGGCUGGGCAUGCCUAGCUCUCCGCCCCCCAAAGCACAGCCAUGUGCCCUU